rnacentral:rRNA from 1 species
AUUGAACGCUGGCGGCAUGCCUUACACAUGCAAGUCGAACGGCAGCACGGGAGCAAUCCUGGUGGCGAGUGGCGAACGGGUGAGUAAUACAUCGGAACGUGCCCAGUAGUGGGGGAUAGCCCGGCGAAAGCCGGAUUAAUACCGCGUGAGACCUGAGGGUGAAAGCGGGGGAUCGCAAGACCUCGCGCUAUUGGAGCGGCCGAUGUCAGAUUAGCUAGUUGGUAGGGUAAAGGCCUACCAAGGCAACGAUCUGUAGUUGGUCUGAGAGGACGACCAGCCACACUGGGACUGAGACACGGCCCAGACUCCUACGGGAGGCAGCAGUGGGGAAUUUUGGGCAAUGGGCGCAAGCCUGAUCCAGCAAUGCCGCGUGCAGGAAGAAGGCCUUCGGGUUGUAAACUGCUUUUGUCAGGGAAGAAAUCUUCUGGGCUAAUACCCUGGGAGGACGACGGUACCUGAAGAAUAAGCACCGGCUAACUACGUGCCAGCAGCCGCCGUAAAAC